UCACGUAAUCGCUCUUUAUUUCAAACCAGUGCGAUGUUCCCCAUGCAGUAUGACUUAAAACACCAGAUUGUAUCUGUUUUUAAGCUCGCUAUUCAAUAAGUGCUUUACUUCUGGUAUCCGUAGUUAUGUGACGUCACCGUGAAAGGGAUCUUAGUCAGACACUAAUUGGAAUAAUUAUACAAUGUGCGUAUUGCAUAGCGAACAUGCCGGUUUAUUAAUUUUGUUAUUAAUGACAAUUUGUACUGUUAAAAAGUAUUAACCAAAGUAAUUAUUAAAAAGGUGGGGGUAAUAAAAACGCCCACAACUAACGAACUAAUAAACAAAUAUACAAGUUAUUAUAUUGCGUUCAGAAAAACAGAGAGGGUUCGAAAAAUUUGACUUCAAACUAGAAAGUUGAUUUUGCGCUAUAUACCAAAGCGAAGAACAAAAUGAACCAAAUGCCCAUUCUGCUAUGCAUACCACUCCAUUCUGUUUUCUGUGCGCAUUAUACAAUCAUGUAACCAGAAAAUUACCGGAAAUUACCCAUGUCAGUCCCAUUUAUCGAUUUUGUCUCUUUGUACGGUAUAUCCUAAACCCAGUAUUAUUUAUAAUUGCGAUGCCAAUAAUUCUUAUAUUAUGCCUCCUAUAUCUAUGAGAAUACAUGGUGCCCAAGAAAAUGCUCCCCACUAAUUCAGGGAGUUAAUAUAACUCCAGUGGUGUUAUAACGAGUAACGGUUAGGUAGCUUUACUAUUUUAAUUUUAUUCUAGAUUGACCAACUAACAUAUUCUUUUCAAUCUAUUGGUAUUUGACUGACCAAAUAACCAACCGUGGUGACGCACAUUUUCACUUAUCCAAAUUAUGAAGAAGGAGAAAGGAAUUUUAAAGAAAACGGCCAUCUAUGUAGUCUUAAAAAAUAAUGAAAGUGGACGUUCUGCAAAAUAUUCGCAGGCUGUGGGGAAAUUUAAUCGCUAAUUUCCCUCAAGUCACGUUAUUUAAAAAUUACAUGCAAAUACUGAAGCAGAUAUUUUUAUCGUUACUGUAUUGAUUUACUAAACGCUGUUAUGUAAUGCUGAGUAGCAUUAAUCCAAAGUUAUUAAUUAAUUUAUUCUUCAUUGCAUUUCCAUUGAAAUUGCGUUGUUAAUGGAUGAACCUCUGCGGUUCAUAGAUGCAUUCAAAGACGAACUUCCAGUAUAGAUGUUAGAAGCCCUGCUAGAGGCAACUUUGCGAUGGUGAGAACUAAUUGACGUGUCCGACUUUCCUUUACUUGACCAUAAUAACUUCCAUUUUCUUCUUGUAUCUUUUGAGAGGACGCAAUAAAAGAUGAAAACCAACAGACCUUGAAGUGAGUUAAAGAUACAAAAUAGAUACUGAAAGACCAAUUUAGCAUCUUUAAUAGCAAGAAUACCAAAUACCCAGGUCAAACCAAGGACCACCAGGAUAGCAAAACUCCGUCUUGCUUGUGUGAUUCCACUGGUCUUGCGGUCUGAGGUCACUUUAGUUCCAGAGGCAAGGAGGGAACGUAAGAUGAGGACAAAUUCAACAAAGUUGAAGAGAAGUAUUAGCACGAUCGGAACGAGGAAAGCCAAUAGAAAUGGGAAACCUUGAAGACGGCAA